rnacentral:rRNA from 1 species
AUUGAACGCUGGCGGCAGGCCUAACACAUGCAAGUCGAACGAGUGGCGGACGGGUGAGUAAUGUCUGGGAAACUGCCUGAUGGAGGGGGAUCACUACUGGAAACGGUAGCUUAUACCGCAUACCAUCAGAUGUGCCCAGAUGGGAUUAGCUUGGAGGUGGGGUAAAGGCUCACCUAGGCGACGAUCCCUAGCUGGUCUGAGAGGAUGACCAGCCACACUGGAACUGAGACACGGUCCAGACUCCUACGGGAGGCAGCAGUGGGGAAUAUUGCACAAUGGGCGCAAGCCUGAUGCAGCCAUGCCGCGUGUAUGAAGAAGGCCUUCGGGUUGUAAAGUACUUUCAGCGGGGAGGCGUUACCCGCAGAAGAAGCACCGGCUAACUCCGUGCCAGCCGCCGCGGUAAUAC